UACUGAGGUGCUACUGCAUACCAGGCACUGCACUAGAUGCUGGGGAAACAGUCACGAGCAAGAAAGACAAGGUCCCUGUCCUCACAGUGGGAGAGCAAGGCGUAAAAUAUGUCCAGAUGGUAAUGAGUGCUAAACUGCAAGGAAAAAGACACACAAGAUGACAAGACUGAGACCCCGGGAAGGACGUGACUUGCACAAGACCUCAUAGCCUGUCGGUGGCUGCCCCUGCCCCUUCUCCCCCACUCCCCCUGCCAAGACUCCCAGGCUGGUGCUCUUUCCCCCCAGUCAAAAUGUUCCCAAUGAAAUGAUCACCCUUGUCCUGUCUGGGCUCAAGCAUAGAGACACAGGUGGUAUCACAGAUGGGGGAUGGUGGGAGGGACCGCAGGGAGGAGCCUGGAGACAUUUAGCCCACCCCCACUUAUUGAUGAGCUCUGCUUCAAACUCUGGAUGACACUGCUGUGUGGUUAAGCACACAGUCAGAGAAAUAAAUUGAGAAGGGAAAGAAGGCAAGUAUCGUGAGCUUUGGCGUAAAAUUUACCAACUUUGAGACUACCCCUACCUACCAACACACUGUAACCUGGGCAAGUUCAUUUUUUAAACCACUUGGAGCCUCAGUUUCCAUAUCUAUAAAAUGCGAAUAAUAAUUGGCAACUCACAAGGAUUAGGGGAGUUAAGUCACGCGGAGCCCUUAGCAAUGGGACUGGCAAUCAGUAAGUGCUGAAUGAACAGAAGUUUAAGGCAGCACAGCUUCUACAUGGUGAGUAUAAUAUGUGUGAUGGCCAUCAUUAUUAGUUUGCUUCUUACGUUUGUGAGAGUGACAAAGGGACCCUUUCCCUUCCAUUUCUUCCGAGGUCAAACUUUGUGAAGCCGAGCUUUCUGUUCUUUUGCAUAAGGGGACCCUGCAGACUUCAUAGGAACAAGAAGGGCCCCAUAGGCCGGGCAUGGUGGCUCACAUCUGUAGAAAUUCCAGCACUUUGGGAGUCCAAGGCAGGAGUAUCACCUCAGUCCAGGAGUUUGAGACCAGCCUGGGCAACAUGGUGAAGCCCUAUCUCUACAAAUAACACAAAACUUAGCUGGGCGUGGUGAUGUGCAUCUGUAGAACCAGCUACUCAGGAGGCUGAGGUGGGAGGAUAGCUUGAGCCUGGGGAGGUGUCAAGGCUGCAGUGAACUGAGAUUGCACCACUGCACUCCAGCCUGGGUGAUAGAGCCAGACUGUGUCUCAGAAAAAAAAAAAAGGCCCCCACAGCCAGCAGGGCAGCUUGGAUGGUCUGGCCACGCUCCCCAUCACCACCACUGAGAAGUUGCCUGGGCAAAAAGUCACCAGAGGGCCUAAGAUCUGCGUCAUUGGCUCAACCUGGACAAGAAGAAACCCCCUCCCAGAAGCCCCCAAUACACAUUUCAGCGCCCCACUUCCUGCUUCCCUAAGACUGAAGCCUGCACCUUAAGCACUUCCUCUUGGGUGAUCAAGGAUUUGCAGCUCACAGUGGACUUCUGCCUCCAUCCUCCACACCAUCUGAGUUCCCAAAAAGCUCUGGGGAAAAGGCAGGGUAGAGUGUUAUGCCCAUUUGAGCUUAGAGGAGGUUCACACGCCUCAGUGAAAUGGCUUGUCCAAGGUCAUGUGGUUUAGGAGCUUGCAUCUGAAUUCUGGCUGUGAUGCCUUAGCCAAGUCACUUGACCUCUCUGAACAUCAGUUUUCCCAAUAUUAGUUCUGGAGAAUGAAGAUUGCCUUGCAGCCCACCACUGUGGGAGGCCGAGGCAGGCAGAUCACUUGAGGUCAGGAGUUUGAGACCAGCCCGGGCAACAUGGUGAAAUCCCGUCUCUACUAAAAAUACAAAAUUAGCCAGGCAUGGUGGCGUGCUUCUGUAAUCCCAGCUACUUGGGAGGCUGAGGCAGGAGAAUCGCUUGAACCUGGGAGGCAGAGGCUGCAGUGAACCAAGACUGCGCCACUGCACUCCAGCCUGGGCGACAAAGUGAGAUACCAUCUCAAAAAAAAAACAAAAAACAAAAAACAAAAAAGAUUGUCCUGCAGGAUCAUCAGAAGGCCAAGGGAGUUCUGUGUGGGGUGCCAGCUAUGUGGGAAGCCUACAGUCAAAGGAAGCCCAUUACAUUAGAGGGUGUCAAAGCUGAAAUUCAGGCCCAAGACUCUAGGUUUCCCCACAACGCCACAGCUGCCUCCCAGUCACACCAAGAUCUACUUGAAUCUUGGCAUGGGACCUUCCUCUAUCCCCAGAGCCAAGUUUCCUAUGUCUAUAGAUGCUUAGGAAGUGCUUCAAAGGCCCCUUCAUUGGACUGUUUCUCCAAACCACAUUGCCAGAGCGGGAUGGAGGGAAAAGAUGGCCCUGAUCAUCCCGUGGCAGGAGAGAGAGCCCUUCAGCUCUCCCUGAGGGCAGGGACUGUAUCCCUCUAGCUCACCUUCUCCCAGCUCUCAGCAUGUUUCUGCGCAUGGCAGCCUCUCUUCAUCCGUGGCAAUGAUAUAGAACUAGAAUUCACAGUGUCCAGCAAGUGCCAGGUACCAAAUGACAUGACUCGUAGGCAUUACCCCAUUUGGUCUAACUUACACAUCAGCUAUUUGUAUUCCUGUUUUUCAGAUGAAGAGACAGGCUCAGAGGGAUUAGUGGGCUGAGAUUUGAACCAAACUACCCAUCUCCAAAGUCUCAGCCCACUCUAUAGCCUUUUUGAAUUGCUGUUGGCCCCCCAGCACCCCGGCGAGGGAAGGCGUGGGUGGCAAGACAAUUUCUCCUUUUGAGGAGCCAUGUGGGGGCAGGGCAGAGGCGCGGUCUGUGUCUUUUUGGUAAAUGGGCAGUAUUUUUAGAAGGUCCUCUUUGAAACUGUGCUUCCCCCUGGGCCACCACCUUCCACAUCCAACUCGAGAAAAUAUUCCUGAUCUUUUUGCCAUCAAAAGUCCUUUUUGGGGUUUAUUUUCAUCCCCACUUCACACUGCAUGCAGGAUUUGAAAGGCUAAGUGUAGACACUAAACAGGUGUCUGAAAUAACAAUUCACCUCUCUCUCCCCCGAGGGAAAUCAGGUGUCGCCACAAUGUUCUAACUCAGACUUAAACUAUCUGAAGAUCAGUGCAUGCAUCUCUUCUGGGAACAGCAUAACGUUCCAUCUCAGCUGGUGGGAGAUGAAUGGAGCUCAGAUGGUGAGCUUUGGGGUGAAAUUUCCCAACUUUCAGGUUAUCCCUACCUACCAACGCACUACAAUCUGGGUAAGUUCAUUUUUUAAACCACUUGGAGCCUCAGUUUCCUUAUCUGUAAAGUGGGGGAUAAUAAUUGGCAACUCAUAGGAUUAGGGGAGUUAAGUUGCAUGGAGCCCUUAGAAAGGGGACUGGCGACCAGUAAGUGCUCAAUGAACAGUAGCUUAAGGCAGCACAACUUCUGCAUGGUGAGUACAAUAUGCGUGAUGACCAUUUUUAUUAUUAAUGUGCUUCUUACCUCUGUGAGAGUGACCAGGGGAGAUUUCUCUGUGUCUGGGGCUGUGCUAGAUGCCUUGCAUUUACUAUUCUGUUUCAACUGUUAACGGCAACUCUGGGAGAUUGUUGUUAUUAUAGCCAUUUUACAGACGCAGGCGCUGAGAUUACGUCCAGUUCAUUAGAUGUUUUCUUCCCAGAGGCGGGGAGUCUAUCUUUGAGGGUCUAAGGAGGCACUGAAAGGGAGAAGAAGGCUCUUUUGCUACCCCUAAAAGCCUCCAGCACUGCUCUGAACUGUGAUUAAAGAGCAUGAGAAGGAGGCCAGGGGUGGUGGCUCACGCCUAUAAUCCUAGCACUUUGAGAGGCCGAGGCUGGCGGAUUACUUGAGGUCAGGAGUUCAAGACCAGCCUGACCAGCAUGGUGAAACCCCGUCUCUGCAAAAAUACAAAAAUGAGCUGGGCGUGGUGGUGGGUGCCUA
rnacentral:lncRNA from 1 species